UGCGCGUGCAGUGCUACGUGACUGCAGGAACGUACAGCUUUUCGGUUUAAGCAGAUCUGCGGGCUAAACACCACCACAUAGCGGCCAAAGCGAGGCCACAGGCGGCACGACAUUUUGAUGUGAAUUCCGGCUCUUUUAGUUACAAUGAUGCUCCAGGUGCCAUAGUGAGCUGACAAAACCUGCAGACGGGGUACUGGCAGGAAAAACAAAGCACUUCAGCUGCAUGGAUGUGAUGCCUGUGGCUCUCUCAAGUGCAACAAAGACCAACAUAAACUAUGUGUACUUACCUCGUUGACCAUUCCUGGUGUCAUCACAGCCACAAUUAUCAAAGUCUCCCAGGCUGCAGUUCCUUGUGAGAGUGUACAUAACCCCAGCAGAACUGAUGGCAUGAACAAAAGCUGUCUCCCGGGUUGCUGCAAAUAGAA